GAGGACGGUCCGCUCGACAUAUGCAGCUUGCUAAACUACAUCCCCCUGGUUGAACUCCGGGGCUUAUCUCG
rnacentral:tRNA from 1 species